rnacentral:rRNA from 1 species
UACGUAGGUGACAAGCGUUGUCCGGAUUUACUGGGCGUAAAGAGCGCGCAGGCGGUCGUUCAAGUCGAGUGUGAAAGCCCCCGGCUCAACUGGGGAGGGUCACUCGAUACUGAUCGACUCGAAGGCAGGAGAGGGUAGUGGAAUUCCCGGUGUAGUGGUGAAAUGCGUAGAUAUCGGGAGGAACACCAGUGGCGAAGGCGACUACCUGGCCUGUUUCUUGACGCUGAGGCGCGAAAGCUAGGGGAGCAAAGCGGG